rnacentral:rRNA from 3 species
CCUACGGGAGGCAGCAGUGGGGAAUUUUCCGCAAUGGGCGAAAGCCUGACGGAGCAACGCCGCGUGAGGGAUGAAGGCCUCUGGGCUGUAAACCUCUUUUAUCAAGGAAGAAGAUCUGACGGUACUUGAUGAAUAAGCCACGGCUAAUUCCGUGCCAGCAGCCGCGGUAAUACGGGAGUGGCAAGCGUUAUCCGGAAUUAUUGGGCGUAAAGCGUCCGCAGGCGGCCCUUCAAGUCUGCUGUUAAAAAGUGGAGCUUAACUCCAUCAUGGCAGUGGAAACUGUUGGGCUUGAGUGUGGUAGGGGCAGAGGGAAUUCCCGGUGUAGCGGUGAAAUGCGUAGAUAUCGGGAAGAACACCAGUGGCGAAGGCGCUCUGCUGGGCCAUCACUGACGCUCAUGGACGAAAGCCAGGGGAGCGAAAGGGAUUAGAUACCCCUGUAGUCCUGGCCGUAAACGAUGAACACUAGGUGUCGGGGGAAUCGACCCCCUCGGUGUCGUAGCCAACGCGUUAAGUGUUCCGCCUGGGGAGUACGCACGCAAGUGUGAAACUCAAAGGAAUUGACGG